GGGACAUGUAACAUGCUGUCUGUAUUUUGGCAGUUCACGGGAGAGACUGGCUUUGUUAAAGUCCCCAAGAAUGAUUAAAACAGAGUCCGGGUGUUGUGGACGGAAGCAAGAGUCCGGGUUUUGUGGACGGAAGCAAGAUGGCGCCAGUGUGUUGGUCGGCUUGCCGUCAGCUCCGUCAACUUCUAUGUUUGUUUAUGUUGUCACUCACGCUAUGUCGGUACUGUCCCGUUGUUGCUACAAGGUCAUAUGAUCGGAAUACUUUGCUGGAUCUCAGAAACGCACUGGUGACCCCUGUUCUUUACGACGGAUGUCACCCUCCGCUGAUUUACCCCAUCGCUGAGUGCGUCAUUCGGCUACCUUGCUGUAUCUCUAACCGGAGGAAGCGUCGGAGGCGCCGAGGCAAACGUGGAGGCGUCCGAGUGAAGAUCAGGAGAGGAGCGAGUGGUUCUCCUGUAGAAUCAGGUCUUUGCCAGCUCUCUCAAGCCAUCCUAGGUCGGAAGGAUCUCUACCUGGCUCGACGUUCGUGGGAUUCGAGCGGUGGGGUGAACUCGCUGAACAUCCUCUCUUUGGAAUACUCUCGCUGCCCCCAGUCUGCGGCCUUUUUAAAUGCAAAAGUGGCCCUGGUCAAUAGCAGGUCAGUGUCUAACAAGACUUUUAUUUUGAAUGACUUUUUUUCCAGUCACAAUCUGGAUUUUCUGUUUUUAACCGAGACAUGGAUUAGCGCUGGAGUUGGCCAGUCGUCUGUUUUUAGUGAACUUUGCCCAACUAAUUGUUCAUUUAUUAGCACGCCGAGGUGCGUCGGAAGAGGAGGCGGUGUGGCUCUUGUCUUUAGGAACAAUUUUAAAUUACGGACACUGUUUUCAGGGACUUUUUCCACUUUCGAACUGCAAUGUGUAGUUGUAGAAUCUGUUAUGUCACCAUUGGUUUGUGUACUGAUCUAUAGGCCCCCUAAGCCUGACAAAGACUUUAUAACUGAAUUCUCUGACUUUCUUUCUCAGUUUUUGUCACUGUAUGAUCGUCUCCUUAUACUUGGUGACUUUAAUAUUCAUGUUUGCUGUCCGGAUAGACCUAUGGUUAGCAAAUUCUCUGUUGUAAUAGAGGCCUUUGGCCUUACGCAACAUAUAGAUAAAGCUACUCAUAAACUGGGACAUACACUUGAUUUAAUUUUAUCAUAUGGUUUUAAUGUCGAUAAUAUUGUGAUUGAGGAGGCCACUUUCUCUGAUCAUAAGCCUAUUACAUUUGACAUCUCCCUUUUCAGUUCCCAGCAAACUGUCAGAGUUCAGGAUCAUUACUGUCGCCAGAUACAUUCUCUUACUGCAACUCAGUUUUCUGAUAGUUUUUUGAGUGGAAAUGUUGCAUCUAUUAUUGCAACAGAGGCAUCGUUCUCCUCUAGUCCAGAUGAAAUAGUCAACCUUUUUCACUCAUCUUGCUCUUCCAUACUUGACUCAGUAGCACCUUUCACAUACACUCGCUCCAAACUAAAAUCUCAUUACUGGUUAGAUGAGAAUACACGCUCUCUUAAGGGCCGUACACACCGGGACGAAUAUCGGCGCGCGUUAUUCGCCAGCGUUUUCCAACACGUUUUUUGUGUUCACACCCAAGCGAUUUUCGCUGACGAUGAGCCGAGUGAACAUGCAAAUUCAUUCCCUGACAUUAGAUGGCGCUUAAUGUAAAACAGAAAUACCCCUGUACACAAGGUGGCGCUGCGCAACUUUACGCUUCUUAAACUCGCUUUUCACUCAGAAGAAGAGUGCAAGUAUUUACGCGCUUGUCAGAAUCAUACAAAGAAAACAUGAAUAUUUCAAGCACCAGUAACUCUAGCUCCAGUUCCAGCGAUGAAGAAAUUAUUGUUCUGUUGAAUGAGGAAAGACGCCGGAAAAGACGCCGAUUUUGGGUACAUCCCAUAGUUACGAGAAGAGAAGAACAUGGGGAGUUUUAUCGACUGGUACAAGAGCUGAAAAUGUAUCAUGAGCGUUUUCGGGGGUAUUUUAGAAUGUCCGUCAGUGAGUUCGAAAAUUUACUUCAACAACUGGCUCCCUUGCUGACGAAAGAACAGACACACUACCGUAAACCAAUCGACCCAGAACAGCGUUUGGCCGUGUGUUUACGUUUUCUAAGCACUGGGGACUCGUACCGCUCUAUUGCGUUCAGCUUUCGACUUGGUGUGUCAACUGUGGCUUCGAUAGUGAGUGAAACCUGUGAUGCAUUGUGGCACUGCCUCAGAGAUGAACAUUUGCCAGUGCCUACUGAAGAGAUGUGGAGGAGUACAGCCAGGAGAUUCCAUGAAAGAUGGAAUUUCCCUAACUGCUUGGGAGCCAUGGAUGGGAAACACAUAUUCAUCCAGGCCCCUGCAAACUCUGGUUCUCUAUACUUUAAUUAUAAAGGUACAUUCUCCGUUGUAUUGCUGGCCUUAGUUGAUGCAGAUUACCGCUUCCUGGUGGUUGAUGUGGGGAGCUAUGGCAGCAACAGUGAUGGAGGAAUCUUUGCCAAUUCUGUACUGGGAAAGGCACUCAGAAAUGGAACUCUGAAUGUUCCCCCACCAAGUGAACUUCCAGGUGCUCCUGAGCUGGGAAAAGUUAACCAUGUCAUUGUGGCGGAUGAAGCUUUUCCGCUGAAACCAUAUCUCCUCCGGCCAUACCCUGGACGCCGCCUCCCCACAGACAAGAGAAUUUUCAAUUAUCGUUUGUCUCGGGCACGGCGCAUCUCUGAAAAUGUAUUUGGCAUCCUCAGUCAACGCUUCCGGGUUUUCCAAAGAACUUUACAGGUUCAACCAAGUGUUGUUGACAAAGUUGUCAAAGCUGCUUGUGCGUUGUGCAAUUAUUUGCGCCCGAACGGAAAUGACCAGAAUCGUGCCACAGAGGAUGACCAUGAUUGUGAGCAACCACUACAAGGCUUUGAACAUUGUAGGGGGCAGCGGGCAUCUGUGGAGGCCCAAAAUGUCCGAGAACUGUACAAAGAGUACUUCAACUCACCAGCAGGAGAAGUUGCUUGGCAGUAUGACCAUGUGAACCAUGCUCUGGGGAACAGAUAAUAUCAACCUAUAAAUUUGAGCCAUUUUAAUUACAUUUUCCAUUGAGAAAACUGCUAGUGUAUGUGUAUAUAUACAAUUUCUGUGAACUUGAAUACACUAUCAAAUCUAUUGCAUCUGAUUCUUCAUUAAUUAAUAUGGCAGCACUCACCACAGCAAAUUAAAUAUUUUUGAUAUAACAUGUUCUAUCAAAGUUAAAGCAUAGUUUUUUUUUGCAAAAAGUAAAGUAUUUGGUCACUUCAACAUAUACUUAUUUACAACUAAAUGUAAGUUGUAUUUUUGAAAAUGUGUAUUUUUAAUAAACAUUUUUACUAGCA